GACGAACGCUGGCGGCGUGCCUAAUACAUGCAAGUCGAGCGGACUUAAAAAGCUUGCUUUUUAAGUUAGCGGCGGACGGGUGAGUAACACGUGGGCAACCUGCCUGUAAGACUGGGAUAACUUCGGGAAACCGGAGCUAAUACCGGAUAAUCCUUUUCUACUCAUGUAGAAAAGCUGAAAGACGGUUUACGCUGUCACUUACAGAUGGGCCCGCGGCGCAUUAGCUAGUUGGUGAGGCAACGGCUCACCAAGGCGACGAUGCGUAGCCGACCUGAGAGGGUGAUCGGCCACACUGGGACUGAGACACGGCCCAGACUCCUACGGGAGGCAGCAGUAGGGAAUCUUCCGCAAUGGACGAAAGUCUGACGGAGCAACGCCGCGUGAGUGAUGAAGGUUUUCGGAUCGUAAAACUCUGUUGUUAGGGAAGAACAAGUACGAGAGUAACUGCUCGUACCUUGACGGUACCUAACCAGAAAGCCACGGCUAACUACGUG
rnacentral:rRNA from 1 species